GAGCAUGAAUCAUGAUGAGCUGUAGGUCUAAUGAUCUGCUUUAGUGGACAUUAGGAGUUGUUAAAUAUAAUCUGAAGAGGUAUUUAUCAGCUGUUGUCCAUCUUGUGUUCGAGUUGCAUGCUGAAAAUCUUUACUUUCUCGAUGCAACUGCUUAAAGUUAUGUUAAAAGAUUCAGUGGCUGCUUUGGUGGUCUCCCAUAUGGUCGGUUGAUGGCUGCUUUUUAUCUGUUUGUUCGUCACAGCUAAGUAAAAACAUUCAGUUGAUGUAGAUAUAGGGCUGAGAUAGAAGUAUCACAUGUUAGAACAAUUUAAUGGGUUCGUAUAUGCUGUUAUAUUUUAGGAUUUGGGGCUGACAUUUCUGUGUACUAGGUUUGCCUUAUUUUAUCAUGUUGCUUCCAUUGACAAUAUGUUAUACAACCUUGAGUUGAAAAUGAACUGCGUUUCUAACCUUCUGUAGCUCCUCACUUGGUUUUCACAGUGCUAAUGCCUUCUGUCUGUGCAUUUUAUGGCAGGUUGUCACUCCGGUUGCACCCCUAAGCCAACAGGCAGGAUACUACUGCUCGGUUUGUGAAUGUGUAGUAAAAGAUUCAGCAAAUUACUUGGACCAUAUUAAUGGGAAGAAGCAUCAACGAGCUCUGGGUAUGUCUAUGCGGGUGGAGCGGGCAUCCCUGGAGCAGGUAAGCUUGUGCAAUCUGUCCUUCAACUUCUUAGUCAUUUUUUGUCUUGUGUUUUAGAAAAGAAAUAAUUUGGCUUUUGUCCAAUGGGGAAAGGGGAAGGGGAUUGGAGAAGAUAGGGGGUUGCCAGGUUUGUGAUUGAGACCAUCUUUGGUGGCUGAUUUUUAUCAUACUUUGCCACUAGAUGUUAUAA